rnacentral:rRNA from 1 species
UACGGAGGAUGCAAGCGUUAUCCGGAAUGAUUGGGCGUAAAGCGUCCGUAGGCGGCAUUUCAAGUCUGCGGUCAAAGGUCGAGGCUCAACCUCGAACAGGCCGUGGAAACUGAAAAGCUAGAGUGUGGAAGGGGCAGAGGGAAUUCCCAGUGUAGCGGUGAAAUGCGUAGAGAUCGGUAAGAACACCGGUGGCGAAGGCGCUCUGCUAGGCCAAGACUGACACUGAGGGACGAAAGCCAGGGGAGCGAACGGG